UUCCUCUGUCCGAAAAUGCUUGUCCCAAACUUGUCUCUCAAAUGGAUGUAUCUAGCACUAACUUGGCGCUAGAUACAUUCAUUUGAGGGACAAGCUUUUUCGGAUGGACGGAGUAUGUUUUAGGCAACUUACAUGUUAAGUUUAAGCAAAGGAUGAAAAUGAUGUGUAACAAAACUGGUUGCAAGAAGACAAUGGUAGGCAAAGCUUGAGCACACACCCUUACGAGCCGUCCGAUCGGGAUCCCGAUCGCCAGGUGUUCCGUGGUCGCGUUUUAUGGAGUGAAGGGAAACACGAACGAACAACACACAGCGGCAGUGGGCCCCAACCAAACGCACACUCCCACAUCCACAAGCGCAUGCAUGUUUCUUCUCCCAAAUCCACUGCUCCGUUCGUCGAUCCGCGGAGCCGGCCGCGCCGCACUCCGCGAGCGCCUGCUCGUCUCCCAGCCGGCGUCGGGGGACAAGGUGACAGAUCCACAUGCUUCUCCCCCGCCCCUGAUUUUCGCUCGCCGAAUCCGUCGGCUCGUUGCUGUCGUCGUCUUCGCGGUCGCCGCGAUGCUUUACUCCGGCGACUUCCUCCCAGCCUCCCGCGACAAGGCUGUGUCCGUGUUGGCCGCCUUCGCGUCCUCCGAAGGCGAGCACGCACCCAUCUCCACGAGGAAGGCGAGCGCCCACCACCCCCACACUCCUUAUUCAGUGGCGCUGGCACCGACGUCGUUGUAGCGGGCCUCUUCCUCUCAAGCAUCUCACCGCAGGCCACAUCGGGGAUGGCCUCGACCUCCUGCUGCUAGCUACUGGUGCUGGCUGUAGCUUGAACUGGAGGUCUGGAGCAGAAAAAUUGCACCGAGGUAGCAGGUGGAUGAUGGUGUUGGUGCCUUUCUCUUGAAUUGUUGCUGGUGAUGGCUGCAAUUUGAAUGAGCGCCUCAUGUCAACGACAACACAUGCCUCAGAUGAUUUUGUCCAUGAUGAUCUGGUAGGAACUAAUGGAUGAACCAAGCAAAAAGGGCAUUCAAGAAGAUCAUCAUGCAGUUAAUCGUGAUGCUGAUCCCUUGCAUGCGAUUGAAGAUCAUCACGAGG